AUGGAUUUGUCUCUGUUUAAGGUUCGCGCUUGGUGUGUUGACCCGGACGCGGUGCCGUCGGACAAGCUUAUUUGGGUCCCGGAGCCUGAGGUUGACGAGGGACCGGCGACGAGGAUGCCUACUUCACGGCAGCUCUUGGAGUACAAAGCGCUCAUCCAUAUCAGGCGGAUCAGGGAGCACGAGGGACCGGGCACUUGGUUACGGCAUCCAAGCUUUGAUGGGAGCGGCCAGAGCGGCAUGCCGGACGAUUCAGGCGACUUCUCUGGCCGUGGAGAAUGGAGAACCAUGCCCUGGGCGCGGGGAGUGCGUGAUCACCGCGGCCCGUUCAAUGGUCACCAUGGAGGUUCGUACAGGCAGGCGCUGCUGGGGCGCAUCAGGCCCUCCAACUGGCGCAUCCCCCCUAUGGUGGAUGGCGGCGCUACCAUCGCGCGGCCACGUGCUGCUGCUCCGGCGGCCACGGUGCCGUUGCCGGUCGAUGCGGUGGUGACUACGGUGGCCGGGAGUUCGCAGGGCAGGCCUGGGACGGAGGAGGUGGAGCCAGCGCCUAGCAGACAGGUGGGACCCGCCUCGCGGUCACAUGCGCAGGAUAGGGCGCAACCUGCUGCCGACCAGGUGCCUUUUGACCAAGUUUUGGGCCCGCAGCCGCCUUUAAUUCAAACCAGGAAUGAGGAGAUGAGCGACACGUGCCAGGAGGUUCACGCAGUUUUGGAGCCAGCCGAGACGGGGCCUAUCACGAUCUUCGGGGCUGUUCCAGAUGGAUCAGGGGAUCUCGAGGUGUGCACGUUGGUGCCGCCUUCUGCGGGGCAGGGCGAGGGCACCCAGGCCCUAGAAAGUUGCGCCUUGCCAGCUGUGCGGUGCCAGGGGGAGGGGGUUGGUGCAGAUGCCGCGCCGGUGCCCACCAUGGAGGCGGGGCCACUGGUGCGGGCAGUGCCCAGUUCAUUGGUGCUGCGCGCUGCAGAUGAGAGGGGCCCAGCCUUGGAUCCCCUACACGCCGCACCCGAGGUGGAUCCUGCGCCACAAGACAAGGAUGGGAAGCGAUCGGAUCCCGAUGUGCCUGAGGUGGAUCCCGCGCCACAGGACAAGGACGGGGGGCAAACGAGCCCUGACGCGCUUCAGGGUUUGGGUCUCGUGGGCCCUGGCGCGGAGGUGACUACGUCCCAUGCAUGCAUGCAUGAAGAGGCGCCUGAAGUCGCUGGGGCGCUGCUAGAAAAGGCAAAUUCUGGCGCGUUGGCCACUCCCUUGUCCAGCAAGGAGAUUAUUGCCACCGGCAACAUCAAGACCUUCUGCGCAGGUUUACUUAAGAAACUCGCCCCGCCGCUGCUCAAGGAGUUUGAAGGGCUCAGUGGUGUCCGCGUUGGCCAGGACCCUUUCACACCGCGUCGGGCCACCAGGUCUGGGCGUGCUAUUGGGCAGAAGAUGAAGACUAAGGCGUCGGCUGCAGAAACGGUUCUCCUUAAGGCCUUGGGUUUUUCUUGUGAGGAUCUGGCGGUCUCCGACGAUGCGCUAGAGCAGUUACGCACGGUCUUUGAUUCACCACUCCAGGAACCACAACUUAGAGCAAUCGCAGCCAUCUUUGGGAAGGCGAUACCCCUAGACCUUGGAGCUGACACGGAGUUGGCUGCACCGAUCAUGGUGUAA
rnacentral:rRNA from 1 species